CGAGCUGUAGUUCACGUCUGAUUGUGCAAAAUCGACUUCAUAACGCUGGUGUGUGUCAUCUCUCUCAUCCCAGUCACCAAGGAUAAAAAUUGCUAUUCAGCUUCCGGUUGAUUAAACAUUUUCAUAAUAAGACAGAUCAGCAACAUUGAGAAAAAUUCAGUAGUUCAGUCCAGUUUCAUCGACGUAGAGGUUCAGUUUGUAGGAAAGUUUUGGCAAAAAUGUUCCAGCGAAUUAUCGUCACAAUAUCCUUGCUCGUGUUACUUUCAUUGGGUACCGAAUCUCACCGAUAUUGCAAGUUGGACGAUGACUGUGAACUACUCAUGCAAUUUUGUGUUCGGGGAACGUGUGAAACGGACUGGGCAAUUACAUUCGGACUGGCCCUUCUAUUACUGGUCAUCCUUUUGUUCUGCAUAUGCUCAAUUGUGUGUUGUGUUACUUUCUGUCACAAAUGUCUGCAAAUUUGCUGCCACAAAUCUGACAGACAUUCACGAACAGGUCCCACUGGAAUGGCGAUUAAUCAAAUUGAUUUACCUAUGGUGAUUGUUCCCUUAAAUCGAUAUGAUCUACCAGGCCACUCCCGAACUAACACAAAUAAUGUGGAACUGCCACCGCCUUACAAUGCAAACGACUUUACUUACAUCCGGAAAUAAUGAAUGUGGUGCACUCAAUCAAAA